UGAUUACAAUUUGAGGCAUCACACUGAGCUGUGAGGUCAGAAAUGAAUCAUACAAAACAUUCAAUUGCAAUUUUUGACUUGCUCAGCAGUGUAAGUAAAAAGUCUUUAGUAUUUAUUUAUUUAGGUCAAUGUUCAUUUGAAAAUACUUGGUUAACAAUAACAAUUAUAUUUUAGCACGUUAAAGAGCAUUCAUUUAUUAACCAUUACAUCAUGUAAACACAGAUUUUAGCAUUGUGUCACUGUUAAUUUAGGGUGCCAGUGGCAUAAACAUUCCUAAAUGAUCAAAUUGGACUCAAAUGUUUUAAUUGUGCAUACAAAAACUAAACAGAGCUUUGGUUUGCUGCGAUUUGGGUCAAAAGUACAAACCAAAAAAACCCUCCUGUAACUUUCUGGGUGCUUUUCAUUUGUGUCCCGUCUUGGAGAAGUUGGGAGAGAGGGAGGGGAGGAGGAGAAGGGAGGUGGAGUAAGGUCGGAGUUCCACGCGAGAGGACUAGCAAAGGAGCUGCUUCAUACUGUGCUGCUCUUGGCUCUUGCUGCCCUUGGCUGUCCGUACAUCUCUGUUUGUAUUCGCUGGGAGUCAGCGUGCACCUGUGUGUGUGUGUGUGUGUGUGUGUGUGUGUGUGUGCGCGUGUGUGUGUGUGUCUUCUAAUCCAACUGGUUGUUUACCCAUGCUGUCAUGUGAGCAGCUCAUGCAGCAAUCUGCAGGAGAGAGGCAGAACUGGACUUGACAGACUGAGCAAAACAAAACCUCUGAACAAAGGAAUGUAUUUGGGAAGUUUGUGCCUCCAUCUUGAGUUGAAAGACAUCUGAGGGGACUAACUUUCCUCACAGCAGUGCCGGUCUGACAACAAGAUGACUUGUAUAGUGAAUGAUGGCUGUCUGAACCUCUGGAGUAGAUCAACAGCAGCCGUUCACACUGGCUUGUUGCUUUUCGCUGAAGCGCUGGCCUGCGGUGGAUCUCAAAGCCCGACGGAGUCCAUUUGACACCAGAGGAUGUUUGAGCGUCAGUGUCCAGCCUGUCCCCUGUUGAGAUGCCUCUCGUUCCAUCUUGUCGGGCCACGUCGUCUUCCUCCCUCUGCUAGGAUGGAGAGACACGCAGGGAUGACUGCGGCAGCCAUCGAGACGGCAGUCAGCCGGCCUCCUUUCAGUUCACUGUGAGCAUGGUGGCCAUAAGGAACUUUGAUCCAGAAUGACCUCAGCAACAGCACUGAGAGCGCGGCCAGUCGCUGAAUCCUCAGAGGUGGUCAGCGGCUGAUCUGCUUUGAAUGCCAACGCAAAGGUAACAUGACUAAAGUGUCUGAAGACGAGGAGGGAUUCGACACUCAGGGGCCCGCUUAAGCUUUGCUCUCAGUACAAAUCCUCUCAAUGUGUUUGAUGUCCUACGGCAACUCCCAAAAUGAUUGCAUAGUUGCGCUUUUGUAAAAAAAUGAUCCCAAACGUUAUUUCACGCACGCUCUUUUGGUAAACUGGGAUAUGCACCAAAGUCCAUGUUUGUGUUAUCUUGAAUAUUGUUCUCCUCAUGCUUGGUUGACAUAUUUUAGGACGUAUAUUUCGGAUUAGCCAUUAGACCUCCUAGAAGUGGAAAUAAAUGAAAGAAAAUCCAGACUUGGUGCCACCUCCUUCGCUCAAACAGCUCCUUGAAGAUUCUCAACAAGAUUUUCGAGAUUGUCUCUGGCAAUAUUUUGUCCACAGUGUUUGUUGUCCACAAUCCAAGCAGGCCUUUAUAGACCUUUCCGCAACAGAAUAGGGCCCUUCCCAUAUUGUUGACACGAAGAACAGAAUUGAGUGUCCAUUUUUUUCUUUUGUGGCCUUCGCAGCCAAUGGCACUCUUGGCCAAAGUCCACGUGGCACCAAAAGGCUUUAGCAUUCCUGAUGUCUGUGGCUAAUCUGUGGUGUCAGCUUGUGUUAACGCUGCACUGCCAAAUUUGAGUGCUCGCCGCGCGGGCGAAUAUUAAAAAAAAAAAAAGUCACAUCAGCUGCAUUCCUGGAGGGCGAGUGUGCGGAGCAAGGGUCACAUAAGGUUGAACGGGGCUUGCGCGCUGAGCCGCGAGUACAGUAACGGUCCAUUGGGCUGGAGAGAAGGCGGGGACCGUGCAGGACGGCACACUUGAACAAACUUCAAAGGGGGCUAGAGCGUUUUUUUUCCCUCAUUGAAAGCAGCCUAAAUGAGCUUUGGGGAGGGGGGGUUCGCCCCUGCUGUUAGACAAUUGAGAGGCACGAUGAGGGAUGCCGGAAAAGGGCGGCGGGUCAUAUGUGCAGUUAAUUAUCUGCUCCUCAGCCUGCCAUACAAUUUCUGCAUACCACCCUUAUUGACCUUGACCCACUGGGAGGUAAUAUGCUGAAUUUGCAAGGUCUUGCAAGUACAGUAGAAGU